CUUUAUUGCCACCUAAUAAAACCACAUACUAAAGGGCUUAUAAAAAAAAAAACA
rnacentral:misc_RNA from 1 species